UACGUAGGGGGCAAGCGUUAUCCGGAAUUAUUGGGCGUAAAGGGUACGUAGGUGGUUACCUAAGCACAGGGUAUAAGGCAAUAGCUUAACUAUUGUUCGCCUUGUGAACUGGGCUACUUGAGUGCAGGAGAGGAAAGCGGAAUUCCUAGUGUAGCGGUGAAAUGCGUAGAUAUUAGGAGGAACACCAGUGGCGAAGGCGGCUUUCUGGACUGUAACUGACACUGAGGUACGAAAGCGUGGGGAGCAAACAGG
rnacentral:rRNA from 1 species